rnacentral:rRNA from 1 species
UACGGAGGAUGCAAGCGUUAUCCGGAAUUAUUGGGCGUAAAGCGUCCGUAGGUGGCUAAUCAAGUCUGCUGUCAAAGCGUGGAGCUUAACUCCAUAACGGCAGUGGAAACUGAUGAGCUAGAGUGCGAUAGGGGUAGCAGGAAUUCCCAGUGUAGCGGUGAAAUGCGUAGAGAUUGGGAAGAACACCAGCGGCGAAAGCGUGCUACUGGGUCUGCACUGACACUGAGGGACGAAAGCUAGGGGAGCGAAUGGG